rnacentral:sRNA from 1 species
GCCGGGCGUGGUGGCUCACACCUGUAAUCCCAGAAUUUGGGGAGGCCAAGGUGGGAGGAUCACUUGAGUUCAGGAGUUCAAGACCAGCCUGGACAACAAAAUGACACACUGUCACUACAAAAAAUACAAAAAUUAGCUGGGUGUGCUGGUGCACACCUGUGGUCCCAGCUACAUAAGAGGCUGAGGCUGGAGGAUGGCCUGAGCCUAAGAUGUUGAGGCUGCAGUGAGCCAUAUUCAUGCCAUUGCACUCCAGCCUGGGCAACAGAGUGAGAGCCUGUCUCA